UACGUAGGGUGCGAGCGUUGUCCGGAAUUAUUGGGCGUAAAGGGCUCGUAGGCGGUCUGUCGCGUCGGGAGUGAAAACUCAGGGCUUAACCCUGAGCCUGCUUCCGAUACGGGCAGACUAGAGGUAUGCAGGGGAGAACGGAAUUCCUGGUGUAGCGGUGGAAUGCGCAGAUAUCAGGAGGAACACCGGUGGCGAAGGCGGGAUCCUGGGCCAGUACUGACGCUGAGGAGCGAAAGCGUGGGGAGUGAACAGG
rnacentral:rRNA from 1 species